AUACUCAAACAGGGCAUUGCA
rnacentral:miRNA from 1 species